UACAGGUGCAAGGUACUCACGUCUGAUCCCCUAAUCAUUCCCCCUGUCCAGACCUCUCCCUUCCCUUUCUCUCUCUCGCUCCUCCAUAUCUCUCUUCUAUCCCUUUCUCCUCUCUCCCGUCUCUGUCUGCGAGAAUCCACUUCAAUUCAGCUACAAUGUUGCGCAGCGGCUUCAAAGCCACUGCCGGUGCCAAGACAAGGUCCCCCUGCUUGCCUGCCCUUCUUGUUCUUCUUCUCCUCCCUCCUCACUAGCUCAGCUAGCUGCAUGCUGUGUUCGCUAGCCACUGCUCUGUAGCUACUAGCCUUCCGGGCGGAGAAGAGAGCUGUGAGAGUGUGUUGUCCUGAAGGAGCAAAGCCGGGUUUUGAAUUAGCCUUGGAGAGGGAGGAAGGUAGAAGUGGCCGUCAAAUCUUGCAACUGGAUUGGAGACUGAGGAGAGCCAUAGUUUUACAGUUUAGGAAAGCUUCUGAAGUCCUAGUACAGUGUCUGCACUGAAGCGAGUCACUCACUCACCAAGUCGUAUGAUCUGAGGCAUUAGCCAACUCGUACGUUCCAGCUGAUUGGAGCAAACAUGGGAGACGCAUCCAGACCCCUCGGCGUGGACGAUGACCUCAUGGAGCUGCUGUGGUGCAACGGCCAUGUGGUCAUGCAGAGCCAGACUCACCGGAAGCUGCCGCCGAGGCCCGAAAAGGCGGCGGCGGCGGCGGCGGUGAUGCAAGAAGACGAGGCCGGGCUGUGGUUCCCUUUCUCGCACGCCGACUCGCUCGACAAGGACAUCUUCUCGGACCUCUUCUGCGAAGCCGUGCCUCAGGCAGUGGGGAUCAAGCCGGACUGCUACGGAGACGGCAACGGCAGCAAGUCGUCCGACGCGCCGAGCGAGCUGAUGCCGCCGCCCAAGUCGACCAUGGCGGACGGCGGCGAGCUGUCGGACCUCGUGCAGGCCCGGUCCACGGGGAAGGCGGCGGCGGCGGCCAUGGAGCAGGAGGGCGCGUCGGCGUCGUCGUUCUGCGGGAGCAGCAACCAGGUGCAGGUGCAGCACGCCGGCCGCGUGCAGUCCGCGGGCACCGCUGCCUACGGCAGCAGCGCCCGGCUGCAGUCGGCGGUGGGCAGCGGGAUUAAUGCAAACGGCAGAGGCCGUGAGGCCACGGUGGCGUCGUCGUCGGGGCGCUCCAACGGCUGCUUCACGAACACGACGACGACGUCCACGGAGCCGACGAGCGCGAGCCUCCGGAGCAGCAGCAAGCGGAAGCGGCUCGACAGCCGCACCGAGGACUACUCCGAGAGCCCCAGCGAGGACGCGGAGUCGGAGUCCUUGGCGCUCAUCGAGCGCAAGCCUCCGCUGAAGCUCCCCACGGCCAGGAGGAGCCGCGCAGCCGAGGUGCACAACCUCUCCGAGCGGAGGAGACGAGACAGGAUCAACGAGAAGAUGAAGGCCUUGCAAGAACUCAUACCUCACUGCAACAAGACGGACAAGGCGUCGAUGCUGGACGAGGCCAUCGAGUACCUGAAGACGCUGCAGAUGCAGGUGCAGAUGAUGUGGAUGGGCAGCGGCAUGGCGCCGCCGGCGGUGAUGUUCCCGGGCAUGCACCAGUACCUGCCGCGGCGGAUGCCUUCCUUCAUGGCCCCGCCGCCCGCGGCGGCGGCGGCGGCGCAGAGCCUGCCGGACCACUACGCGCACUUCCUCGGCGUCAACCACCACCUGCAGCCGCCGUCCCACCACCAUCAGCAUUAUGCGGCGCAGGGGAUGGGAUACUACCCGUUGGGGGCCAAGGCCGUGCAGCAAAGUCCAGCGCUUCCGAUUCACCACGUGCACAGUACUGCCAAUGGCGCCACGCCUGCCCCUGCUGCCGCCGCCGCCGCUACCAACAGUAACACGCCGGGAAACGGGAUGCAUCCAAACAGAAUAUGAUGAUCAUCAUCAAGUAUAACUUCAAAAUCUAGCAUUAGCGGUUAGCUACGAAAUCAAACAUUUGAUUUACUAGCGGAAAUACCCGUGCGCUGUCACGGCUCGCUGCAUCCCGCUCCACAUGUUUGAAAAGAUAGCUUUUCUCCCUACUCCGUCUCCGGCCUUCUCCAUCCCACUCACCCUUUGAUUUAGAGUUCACUGGCUUAGCCAUCCAAGAGCUCCGCCGCCGCCUCUAGAGCUCUGCACUGACCUCUUGGUCUCCGUCCUCGGUCCCCGGCGGCAUUUCUCUACUCUCAUAUGCCCCUGUGCCCUCCAGUACACCCGGUGCCGCUGCUAGUUCAGCAUGCUAUAUUGUGGGCAAAUUAUCAAAAAAAAAAUGGUUGGAAGUUUGUAUGGCUGCACGGGUCCUGUAAAGACCAAGGAGUAAGAAGAGUAUGGCAAUAAAAAGAAGAGGAACUGCGGCUGCACAUCAGAAGGGUGUCGAGUGGAGGAAACGCUGAGGGGAAAACAAGGGACCCGGCGUCUUGUUUCAAUUUCUGCCCCCGUUUGAAAGCUGUGCAGGAGUGUUUUUGGUAAAUUGGUGCGGAUCUCUAACCUGAAUUGUCAAUAUAGUCUUCAGGUUUUUUUUUCAGUUCAUACUUGGGAGUUGGGAUUGUAGUCUAUUAUUGAUUUGGGCAUGCCCCUCCUCUUACAAAUAUUUUCUAAAUUCUUUCUUCUCAAGUGAGAGUUGAAAUAGAUUAGGAUUCACACUUAUAUUUUGCUGGAAAAGAAGCUGUCAAGAUUGAUGAUUUCUGGCAGCUGAUAAACACCUAAUUAAAGCACCUAAUUAAUGCUGGUAUGUUGAGCUAUGCGCGGUGCAGCUUUCUUUAGGUACAAUAUAAGCACCCGUCCGAAAGAAUGUUGUCCUGUCAUCGUCGUAGUAGUUGUUAUCGUGCUACUUAUACUUGGGUAGAAAAUUUUAGUCUCCAUGGUCCAUUUUUAUGUACCUUGGCAACUUGCUGUAUAAUUGUAUAAUCAUCUCUCACUACAUUCCUGCAAUGGUAGUAAUUCAAA